rnacentral:rRNA from 1 species
CCGCAAGGCUAAAACCCAAAGGAAUUGACGGGGGCUUACACAAGCGGUGGAGCAUGUGGUUUAAUUCGAAACAACGCGCAAAACCUUACCAAUCCUUGACAUAUGAGAAACCAGGGUGUUUACCCGCUCUGUCUCUUUUAUACAGGUGCUGCAUGGCUGUCGUCAGUUCGUGGUGUGAGCUGUUGGGUUAAGUCCCAGAACGAACGCAACCCUCCUUUGAAAUGAAGGUUUACCUUUUUCAAAGACUGCCAAGGAUAUCUUGGAGGAAGGUGAGGAUGACGUCAAGUCCGCAUGGCCCUUAUGGGUUGGGCUACACACGUGCUACAAUGGGAAUGACAAAAGGAGGCAACAUGGCAACAUUGAGCAAAUCCCAAAAAGUUUCCUUAGUUCGGAUUGUUCUCUGCAACUCGAGAACAUGAAGUUGGAAUCGCUAGUAAUCGUAGAUCAGCACGCUACGGUGAAUUUGUAUCUAAGCCUUGUACACACCGCCCGUCACACUCUGAAAAUUUUCAUGCCUUGAAGCAAAAGAAGUUCACCAAGAACACACAGCGCAAUUAAAAAAAAACAUCUUCCCUUUUUUUUCUGUGUCUUUGUUGGAACCUUUUCUAGAGUUAGGGAGGUGAUUGGAGUG